rnacentral:rRNA from 1 species
GGUAGCGGGGGAUAGCUAUUGGAAACGAUAGCUAAUACCGCAUAACAGUAGAUAUUGCAUGAUAUCUGCUUGAAAGGUGCAAAUGCAUCACUACCAGAUGGACCUGCGUUGUAUUAGCUAGUUGGUGAGGUAACGGCUCACCAAGGCGACGAUACAUAGCCGACCUGAGAGGGUGAUCGGCCACACUGGGACUGAGACACGGCCCAG